GUGAUGAAUCGGUUCUAUCCAGAGAGGUGAAGAGUGCCGAGUUCGCUGA
rnacentral:snoRNA from 1 species